AUAACUGAAUAUGCGCUUUGCAGGGGAAUCGGGUGAAAAUCCCGAACGAUGUGGUCACUGUAAAAGGCUUUUGCCUUAAGUCAGGUUACCUGCACUGCGUGGGAACGGGCUUCCGUACAAAGCCGAACAUUCCGCU
rnacentral:sRNA from 2 species